UUGAGGUGAAAUGCUUACACUUUCAUUUAUAGACCAGAUUAAUGUUUAAUAUUUAAUUUUUAAUUAUAAUACUAAAUCUUAAUCUAACCUAUGGCAUUCAUCAUUUACUGCAAAGACUACUUGGGUAUCUAAUCCUGUUUGUGCUCUGUGCCUUCGUCCUUUAACGUCAGUUUUUACAUAGAAGGCUGCCUUCGCCUUUACCGAGUCCCUUUGGUAUCAUAGAAUUUCAUCUCUCCUCCUCAAGUACUGCCCUCUUACAUAAAACUCUAGACAAAUAUUACCUAUUAAAGGAUAAUUUGACCGUUUGAGUACCCUUUAAACCUAAUUAAGAUGAAUAACACUAGUCUCUUACGUAUUACCGCGACUGCUGGCACGCAAUUAGUCAAGACACGAUAUAUAUACUGUCAUUAUCAAUAUAUAAACAAAGCUUUAUUCAAUUUUAAUACAAUCCUAUAGAU
rnacentral:rRNA from 1 species